GUCUGUUCUGCACCUAGACCAGCGUGGUCAAUUAUAUUGACCAGAGGCCGGCAGCCGAGAAGAGUACUCAGUUGUUCUUUGUGGUCUUUGAAUGGAAGGAUCCCUUCAUCCAGAAAGUCCAGGAUAUAAUCACGGCCAAUCCUUGGAACACCAUCGCCCUACUCUGCGGGGCGUUCCUGGCAUUAUUUAAAGCAGCAGAGUUUGCCAAACUAAGUGUGAAAUGGAUGAUCAAAAUCAGGAAACGAUACCUUAAACGGAGAGGCCAGGCGACAAACCACAUAAGCUGAAGUGCCUGUGCCCCAGCACUCCGACAAACCGAGCCACCAGCACUCCUGUACUCACUUGAAGGGACCUCGCAGGGAAGGACGGCCUGUCGCAUUGGAUGCUCAACCCUGGCCCAGGAGGACACUGUCCUGGGCCCAAAGGGAAACACCCAGUGGAUAACCCGAAACUUAUUUAAGUACUUAAAUUAUUAACGGACAUUUGCAGAGCUGCCUAGUGCCUUGGAGAGGUUUGCGGAAGGCGGCUUCCUCCUAUUUGGUCAUUAAAUAGUUAAGCUCCAAGUUAAGGUUUCUUCUUUACCUUAGGAUAUUUUUUUCCUUUUAAGUGGACUGAUGUGCUCUGUAUACAAAACUCCUUUUAUACCAUCUACUGUUACUUAACAAGAACUAGAUCAGAAUUUUUGUUUUUUAAUAAAAUGUAGCCCUAGCGGAAUCACUGUA
rnacentral:lncRNA from 1 species